UGAACGCACCCUCAACGGGGCAGGGAUCAUUUCAUUGGUCAACACUACACCUAGCAUUCUAUUGGUUGGAGAAUUUUAAUAGGAUUGUAACACAAAAAAUCCAAGAGCACAGGAGAGAUCUGAGAGGAGAAGAUUUGCAAGUGCGCAGAAUCGGUCUGAGUGUGAGGAGAAGGGCCAAAGCUGAGAGCAGGACAUCUGUCCAAGCAACAACAUAUCUGAGUCCAAGCAGAAAGUUUGAGCACAAGCAGAGCAAAUCCAAGCGCGAGCACUAACUUUGCGCACAA